CAUGAGACUAGGCUUCAGGGAAAUGAGUCGAACAAGGAGGGGACAGCCUCUCCCCAGCUGGCAUCCAGAGUUUCCAAACCAGGCAGAUCAGCCUUGAUAAGAAUUCUGAUGGAAGACUUUCUCCUAAUUUGAAACAGACCACUCUGUGAAGCAGCAAGCAUUUCGCAGGACUCUGUGUGUGCUGAGCAUUAUUUCGGCCCUGUUAGGGGGCAGUUCUUCCAAAGAUGACUGGAAACAGUUAUAAAAGAACCUGUCAACAUGUAGAAUACACAUUCAAGAUAGUACGAUGCGCUAAUCCUGACACCAUCGCUCCAAGGUGCUGGGAGCUGACGAAUCUAAACUGAUUCUGUCUUCACGAUGGCCUGUGACGGAGGGAGGCGCUGUUACUACCCCUUUUACUGAGAAGGAAACUGAGGCACUGAGAGCUUAAGUCAUGUGCCCCACGACACACAGGAUUCAAACUGAGGCAGCCUGGCUCUGGAGGCUCCUAACCAAGCCAUAGGGGGGCCGUGGAGAGCGUGGGGUAGAUCUAGGCAGCUUCUGGAGGAGAGUUAUUGGUUUUUUUUUUUUUGUCUUUUUGCCAUUUCUUGGGCCGCUCCCGCGGCAUAUGGAGGUUCCCAGGCUAGGAGCUGCAUCUGCAACCUACAUCACAAUUCAUGACAACGCCGGAUCCUUGACCCACUGAGCAAGGCCAGGGAUGGAACCCUGCAAACUCAUGGUUCCUAGUUGGAUUUGUCAACCACUGUGCCAUGACGGGAACUCCGUUUUUUUUUUGUUUUUUUUUUUUAACAGGCGCCUUUUUUGGUAUUUUACGUUACUUUUAAAGACCAUAAUGGGCAUUAUUUAUUUAUCUAUUUAUUUGCCUUUUGUUUUUAUUUAUUUAUUUUUAGGGCCACACCCGCAGCAUAUGGAGGUUCCCAGGCUAGGGGUCUAAUCGGAGCUAGUUUCCGGCCUACACCACAGCCACAGCAACCAGAUCCGAAUCUGCAACCUAAACCACAGCUCAUUGAAACGUGGAAUCGUUAACCCACUGAGCGAGGCCAGGGAUCGAACCCGCAACCUCAUGGUUCCAAGUCGGAUUUGUUUGCGCUGCGCCAUGAUGGGAACUCCAGGGCAUUCCUUAAUGGAAGGUCUCUUGCUUACACACUUACAUUUUAUCAUUCCAUGAGCACUGGGUCCUGGGGGUUCCAAGACUGAAGUGCUUUAGAAGCAGAGUUGAGGGUCUGGGAAGGACAAUGAAACCACUGAGCUCAUCCUCCUUGUUUCGCAAGAACAAAGCUCAGAGAGGUUCUGUGGUGCCCAGGCUGGCUCGCCCCAGCCUUGCCACCGCCCCACAGCCCCUCCCUCACCGGGCCCCCUGGAUGGGGCCGCAGGGGACAAGUGGGCCUGGGGCGGGCGGGGGGGAGGAGGAUGGGCCUUUCUCGGACGACAACGCAGUCUAAGAAGCGGCUUCCCAGCUGGGGAAUGGUGACACACAUCUAUCUUGGCCGCUCGGCCCUGGGUUAAUCCAGCGUUGGGGACAUGGGUACGGAACCCCAGAGGUCCCAUCAGGGAGGAGUGGCGGGGACCCACGCAUGGCUGACUGCGGGGCCUUCCUGCCUGCCAUUGCGCCCCCUUCUGGCGCCACGCUGACUCACUCCCCAGAAGAGGCCGCUGAGCUCAGGAGGGCCUUCUGCCCACCCGCCUCCCACUCUGGCUGCCGCAAGCACCACGCUGGCCGCUGGGGAUGAGAGAAGAGCAAGUCCUGACUCUGCCCACCGCCCCCCAGUCCCCGGUGUAGGCCCUAAGGUGCCGCCGGGGAGACAAACUCAUAAAUGAACCAGCUCGGUUUCUCUCCCUGUGCUGACCAGGAGCCAACGCUGCCUCUCAUAAAACAUUGUAAAUGUAAGAGGGAUGACUAGAUUGUGUCAUUUGGGUAUUGCUGAACCCCAGUGAGAAGUAAUUUAGGAUUUAACAGCUGCCAAAGCAUCAUCUCAGGACCCUAGUCAGGAGCCAUGUGGCCACAGGAGGAGCUGGCCUCUGAGAUCAAAGUCUGGUCCCUAUGGGGCGAUCCACACGGUCAUUUAUCUACACAAUUCCCAGGGCUUGGCUUUUCCCCUCUAAAGUGAAGGUGUAGAAUGGACAUGCUUUAAAAAAACAGCUUUAUCGAGCUAGAGUUCAACACACAAUUUACCCGCUUGAAACGCGCCACUCACUGUUCUCUGUACACUCAGCAGGUUGUGCAACCAUCCCCACCAGUGGUCGUUAGAACAUGCUCAUCACUCCAAAAAGAAACCCUGUACGUGAGCGCUCACGCCUCAUUUCCUCCCAGCCCGCAGCCCGCAGCAACUAUCAAUCUCUAUGGAUUUGCCUGUUCUGGUGAAGUUGUGUGUGUGUGUGUGUGUGUGUGUAAUACAUAUACUCUUCUUUUCACACACACGAGGCUGGCGUGAAAGCAUGGUGUGCCCUGCAAGUGUGUUCAUUCUUCCUCCCACCUCUUUGCAGUCUGAAGUCUUGAGAAGAAUAGGAGAUACCCAGUUUCCAUGGAAAGCUGAGAGCAGGCAAGAAGGGUUUCAUACAAAUAAAAUAGAGAUUGGAUGAGAUGAGAUGUGUGUUCCCAGGGCCCGGUCAGGAUUUGGGUGGCAAAGCCUUUUGGGAAACUUUUGAAGAGUGGCUGAUGUUCUGAAGUGCUACAGAGAGUUGACUUGCUUAAGAAUGAAAUACCCUAGUUAAUGAUUGUGGCCCAGAAAGAAGGGUGCCAAACUGAACAGUAAGACUUUUUUUUUUUUUUUCCAUAUUGGGCCACCCGGAGGCACAGGGGGUUCCCAGGCCAGGGAUCAGAUCUGAGCCACAGUCGCAACCUAAGCCACAGCUGUGGCAACGCCGGAUCCUUAGCCCACUAACAGUAAGGUAUUACUGAAAGCCUAAACUUUAGACGAAUCUAAGGUUUAGACAGUGGGCUUUCAGGCCACCACCAACCCUUUUAUAAAAAGAUCUCCAAAGAAAAAUAUGAAGCGUCACAGGCACCCUGGGAUUUCUGCAAAGGGCUGGUGCGGUAUAACACUUAUUUCCUAUAUGUCAUCUAUAGUCCCAGAACACCUACUGUAAGCUGUGCCGCAGCCAUGCAGGGGGUCACUUUCUUCUGCUGGGAUGGGGCCUGGUCUGUCUUGGUGCUCCGGGUGGUUGCUAGGAAGCAUACUAAGGGAACGGGACUUGUUCGGGUGGUGGUAAUAUUUCUAGUCAUUACUAGCGAGUGACGGCAGUUACGGCACCUGACAACGUUAUGUUUUCCGUGCAUGUGUGGUUUUAUAAUUUACAAAACACAUUCACAUGUUUGACCUCACUGGAUCCUUACCAAGCGCUCUCAGGUGGGUACGGUCUCUACUUCCUGGAGUCAGAAUGCGUGGGUUUGAAUCUGGAGUCAAAGCUUAGGAGCGGGGCGCUCCUGAGCUAUAGUUAUUUCAACUCUCUCUUGCCUGGAUGUCCUCGUCUGUAAAAGAGAGAUGGUUAUUUGCUUCACGGGGGGUGCGAUGAAGAUUAAAUGAGCGUGUAAAGGCUUUAGAACUGUGCCUGGAAGACGGUAAACAAAGGCUCUAAAUUAUCCCCAUUAUUAUCAUCAUCGUUAUGACCUUCGAAGUGGGGCACUGAGGCUUGGCAAGGUUAAGUGGUUUCCCAAGAGAGAAGCAAGUGGCAAGGCUGGGGGCUGAGCCCGGGGCUCCUGACUCAUCGUAUUAGUGGUGGUGAAAUUAUCUGCCUGUAAAAGCCAGGCCAAGACACCGUACCGUCCAAACAAAAUAACCAUGGUUUUAUUAAUUGGCAGCAAGAAGUUAAUAGACUUUUCUCUACCUCGAACUUUUUCCCUUAGAAUGUUGUUAAACUUUGUGGACUUGCUACUGCUUUGCUGACUACUGCUUGCCGGUGCUAAGGACCAGGCGAAGGCAUUCACAUAAAUAUGAAUGCAGAAAACCCAGAACGAACUGACCACGCUGGGUUUGACACCUUUUUUUUUUUUUCUCCCUGAAUCCCUGACCUUGUGAUUUAAUCACAUACAUGCAUCAGAAGCAGCUUUCUGCACGGUCACCUGUCCCGGGGCAUAUGGAGGAACUAGAUGCAUUAGUAAUUUGCAGCGUUUCACAAAGCACAUACUGUUCAUUAGAGAACACAGUGCCUUCUAGGUCCACCUUCCCCUGGAACAAGCCUGAGGGCCACUGCCUGUGCCCCUGUCAUCCCCCCGGACUUCAAAUUCUGCCAAAUGUGGAUUUACUUUUAACAUUUCCUGCAACGACCUGAAUUUCAGAUCAAGCUAACUGCAUGGCUCCCCUUGGUUUUAAUUUCAAACCAACCUGUUUUAACUUCACCAACAUUGUAACUAACACUUGAUUGCCAACCCAACGACCAUUCCGGCCCCUUCUUCCUUGCCCACCUCCCACCAGAGGGGCUGAAAAAGGCAAACAUUUCCUUUGGAAGUUCCUCUGACUCUGUAGGUUGAAGACCCAUCAUGGUCCCUGCUGUGGCUCAGGUGAGAUUCCUGGCCUGGAAUAUCCACACGGCGCAGGCAAGGCCAAUAUAAAUAGAUACAUAAGAUAAAAUAAAAUAUAAGAAUCUUAAAAAAAAAAAAUUUGCUUUUGCAAACUGUCUUGCCCUGUGACCUAAUGCUGGCCUAUGAGACAUAAGAGAAGAGCCCUUUUGAGCAUCUCUCCCUUUUUGUGUUGGAUGCUGUUGUGUGAGGAUGUGGGGCCAGGGCUGUGGCAGCCAUCCUGUGACUAGGUUAAGUCCAAGGCCGAAGUUGAAAGCUGACCCACAAAGGAACGUAGGAGUGGAAAGACGAAGGGUUGAGCUGCCAAUCCAACUCGGAGGACCACCGAUUUCUAGACUGAGUGAUGAAAAUCAAGAGGCAUGAGUCACCGUUAGCUUUAUGUUACUUUCAGUUGAAAGUAUCCAACUGAUACAAAUGUUGAAAAAAAAAAAUUCCAAGUGCCCUCAUGGGUUCACUAAAUAUCUUGAAUCCUCCAGACUUCCAUCUUUUCCCCACAAAGUCUUGCCACCGAGGCUUCCACAGACAGCAGUUUCUGAGGUGUGAGGAGACACUGCCUGUUACAGCAUCUCAUGGAAUGCCGUGAGGUUCACGCAAACCAUAAACUAGCAGAAAACAAACAAUGAGUGAAAAAUAUUUCUGCGCUCGGCAGACACUGAGUUUCAUUCUAAGGGACAAGAAGUCACUAAACAGCUGUUUCUUUCCUCCUGGGGGAAUGGGUGUUGUGGAGGCUGAGGCUGUUGGGGAGGAGUUGUUUAGAAAACCUUUCCUGAAAGACAGCACACGUGCAGAAACAACACACUGAGCUGAAGCUAUGAGUGCAGCUCCUGGGCUUCAUACUGAGCUGACCUGAAACUUCAGAAUCAUGAACAACAGAUCAGGGUUUACUGACACAUAGACUGU
rnacentral:lncRNA from 1 species